AACGAACGCUAGCGGCAUGCCUCAAACAUGCAAGUCGUACGCGAAAGUGGCUUCGGCCAUGAGUAGAGUGGCGCACGGGUGCGUAACACGUAGCUAACGUACCCUCUCGCUGGGGAUAACCUCGGGAAACCGAGGCUAAUACCGAAUGAUCUGUCGGAGUCUGCGGACUCUGCCGGUAAAGCUGUAAAGCGCGAGAGGAUCGGGCUGCGGUCUAUUAGCUAGUUGGNGGGGUAAAGGCCUACCAAGGCUACGAUAGAUAGCUGGUCUGAGAGGAUGAUCAGCCACACUGGAACUGGAACACGGUCCAGACUCCCACGGGAGGCAGCAGUUGGGAAUAUUGGACAAUGGGCGAAAGCCUGAUCCAGCAAUGCCGCGUGAGUGACGAAGGCCCUCGGGUCGUAAAGCUC
rnacentral:rRNA from 1 species